CCUACGGGAGGCAGCAGUGAGGAAUAUUGGUCAAUGGACGAGAGUCUGAACCAGCCAAGUAGCGUGAAGGAUGACUGCCCUAUGGUUUGUAAACUUCUUUUAUAUGGGAAUAAAACAGGGUAUGCAUACCCUCUUGUAUGUACCAUAUGAAUAAGCAUCGGCUAACUCCGUGCCAGCAGCCGCGGUAAUACGGAGGAUCCGAGCGUUAUCCGGAUUUAUUGGGUUUAAAGGGUGCGUAGGUGGAUUGUUAAGUCAGUUGUGAAAGUUUGCGGCUCAACCAUAAAAUUGCAGUUGAAACUGGCAGUCUUGAGUACAGGAGAGGUGGGCGGAAUGCGUGGUGUAGCGGUGAAAUGCUUAGAUAUCACGAAGAACUCCGAUUGCGAAGGCAGCUUACUGGACUGCAACUGACACUGAUGCUCGAAAGUGUGGGUAUCAAACAGGAUUAGAUACCCCAGUAGUC
rnacentral:rRNA from 1 species